CCCUUAGAUGUUCUGGGCCGCACGCGAGCUACACUGACGAUGGCAACGAGUUUUUCCUUCGCCGAAAGGUGUGGGUAAUCUUUUGAAACAUCGUCGUGCUGGGGAUAGAUCAUUGCAAUUUUUGAUCUUGAACGAGGAAUUCCUAGUAAGCGCGAGUCAUCAGCUCGCGUUGAUUACGUCCCUGCCCUUUGUACACACCGCCCGUCGCUACUACCGAUUGAAUGGUUUAGUGAGGACUCCUGAUUGGCGCCGCCGCCCCGGCAACGGAGCAGCGGACUGCCGAAAAGUUGUUCAAACUUGAUCAUUUAGAGGAAGUAAAAGUCGUAACA
rnacentral:rRNA from 1 species